UCUCCUCCCCUCUCUCUCUCUGCUGCGCUCCUUUACACCGCCUUACCUGGGAAACACACACAGGUUCAGGGAGGGGCCAGCGACCUGCCCGCGUAAUGAAUGCAAAACAAAACCUCUCACCAACAGAUUUGCAUGCUGUUCUCGGAACCAGCAUCACAAGACCACCACCUACGAUACUUUUCCAUCAGUCUUGAAGACGUUCUCACAUGUGCAGAGCACUUGUAGGGACAUGGGGACAUUUGAGUGACUUUUCGUUACAAAGAUGUCUCUUAUUCAACAUGUGGCUAAAAUUCAUUCUAGUCACUGUGAAUGUUCCACAGUACUGCGGCGGGUAGGGCAAGCCGUUCUUUCUCAUACAAAACUCUCUGCACAUGGAACAAUGAAAGCAACAUGCUGCAGAAUCUUUCUUUAUGCCCUUCCCCUGGGUUUCUGAAGUCAGACAUUGGUGGACAAUUAAUUUGAAGACAUCGGCUGUGUCUGCAUGGGUGUGUAAAGAUCAUGUGCUUGCCUCUUCAUGUGUAUUGCUGAAGGCAUGGUAACAAAGAUUGUUUGACUCAGUAAAAGAUAUCAAACAGUUCUCCAUGGAACAAAUGUGUGCAUUUAAUCUAGACAUGUUGUUACAGUCACCAUGGAUGCAAAGAUGAGUAGAAAAGCUGAAUGAAUGAAGAAUAUUACUUUUUGGGAAAAAAGAAAA